UUGGCAUCCGCCCAAUCCCGAUUUAAUCCGUCCGCUAUUCGCCUAUUCUCCAGAAAAAAGGUAAACAUAGCUUCGUUUCCUUUUCCACAGUAAGUUUGAAAAUUGGUUGAUAGGUGGCGUGGCGACUAGUUUGUGGUUGGUAUUGAAAUUUCUUCGAUUAUCGAUUAUCGCUAUGCCUUUAGUGUUUUAGGUGAUUCCAGGUUCUACUGACUUGGACAUUUAUUAUUUAAGUCCGAAUGGUCAUUAUUAAAUUUAAAAAAAUGUUUAGCUAAAUUUCUGUGUCUAACAAUAAAAACUUAUUUUAUUUAUUGGGUUCUACUGUCCAGUGCUGCAGUCCUAGUGACGGUAAUACUUGUUUAAGGUUCUACUGUCCUAUCUUCAAAAUUAAUAUGCGAAAACAAUUGAAAUUAUGUCAUUCUGGCCGCCGUUCUACUGUCUUCUGGUAGCAGUGGCGAUAACCGUUUCAAACGCAUUUUUUUUAUUUAUUAUAUUUUAGUGUCCAUUGUCCUGGUUAUGAUGACGGUAAUACUGACCAUGGGUUCUACUGACUUUCACUUCACAAUUAAUACAAAAAAAUAUUUUAAAAUUUU